CACAUCGGCGUGCAGGGCCCACUCCCGCUCACCGAACAGAAAAUUCAGCCCCAUGUUACUGAUCGAAAAAUAUGUUGUCAUUCAAAAGCUAUUCAAGGCCUUUGCCCGAUGUAGCUUUGACAGGAAAAUGUACACGAGAAUGUGAUGAGUUUGGCCACUCUGACUCCUGCUGGAUGCCAGUACGCACCUCGCCAGAGAGAAGGAAAAAGAACACACCCAAGCUUUCCACAUUCAUGCCUGUCACAGAUCGAGGCAGUCAGGAGAAACUAGCCAAUGGUACCCCUCAGAUUAUAGGCGAUCGCAAUCGAAACCUUCUCAACAAGAGGCUGACUUCAUCAUAUGAGAACUUCAACACUGCUAGUUAUGGUAAAAAUGAGGAAGGCAAUCCUGAAGAUAUACCCCUAACACAGACAGCAGAUUUUAAGCCAUCUUCUGUUUCUCAACUCACUAGAAGAGAAGUCUACCUGUGAAAAAUCUGAGCAUAAUAUUUCAAAAAAACAACACAUUAGAUAUAAAUCAAAGAGAAUUAAAAUAUCGUGCAGGAUAUCCCAUAAAGGGGGCGACCAAAGAGAUAUGCUAAUGUCUGCUGUUUCUGACUCCACAUAUGGCAUCUUAUCAUGGACUGCCUGACAGUUCUGUAAAUUGUAGAAAUCAUUCUGGCUAGCCAAUUACAUGCAUGCUGUAAACCUGAGCCCACCCCCACCCACAACACCCACCGCCUCCCUCCCCCACAGCCCCUCUCAAGAUACACACACACACCAACACGCACAUACACUGAAUUUUAUACAUUAAAAAGUUGCAAGUGUAUAUAAUGGGGGAAUAUGUAAUUAAAAGAGCACAGGAGUAGUACAGUAUCAAGUCUCUUAUGUAAUGUAACUGUCUCAUUGUUUUGAAGCAUGAUUUCAACUUCCAGGAUAUGGAUUGCAAUGUGUUUUGUGACAUUUUCAUUCGGAAACUAAUGCCCGAUUUGGAUGAUGGGUCAGUGUAGAAUUUUUGGAAAUGUAUUACAAUCAGAAUAGAUUCAAAUGGGGAUGUUCCUGUUAACAUUUACUGAACUACUGCUGCUUCAGGUCGCCUGAUGUAUCUAUUUAAAUGACUUUAGUUCUGGCAUCUUACAAGACUUUUGGAGACAUUGAUGAAACAAGUCUACCCGUGGUCGGAGACACAGAAUGUACAUUUUUUUCUCCAGUUUCAAGACUCUGACAGAAUUCAUAGACCUGGCCAGAAGCCAUGAUAUCAUUGUGUACCAGGCUGAAAUUUAAAAAAAGACUACAAUGAUUGGCCCAUAAUAAUAAUGAAAAAUCAUUGUGUUCAUCUACAACCCCAUUACAUUAUUGGAGCUGGCAAGAUUAAGGUCCCAAAAAUAAUAAUCACAGAGAAAAUUCCUGAUCUGUGGGCCAUGUAGAAGAAGCAGUUGACAUAUCAAUCAGGACCAUCACUCUGUGAACUUAAACAAAGACACAACCUAGAUAUAAAACAUGAAGCCACAGCUUGUGUGAACAGAAGUUAAAUGCCCAAACAAGACCCAGGAGAAAACUUGCUGUAGGAUGUUGCUCUAGGGUUCUACUGUAAAAGCCAACACUAUUCGAGUCCCAGGGAACACUGUCAAUUGAUUCACACAAGAGAAAGCACUGCAAUACUGGAUUGUUGCUUCAAAACUGUGCUGUUGUAUAAAAAACAAGAUGAUUCAAGUUCUUGUAUGAAUAGAUGAUUCUCUAGUUUUGCGACAAGCUGUCUAAUGUAACAGCCUAGAAAUCCCAUUAUAUUGUUACAUUAGUCUGGGCUGUUUAAAAUCUGAUAACUUGCUCAGGAAAGAAAGAGUAAUGUUGGAAAACUCCUCUGUUUUUCAUAUAUGAUAAUUAAAACAUGCUAGAUGACAUCAGUAGAGUGCAUGUAUAGCUUUAGCAAAGGUGUAGCGUUAUCUAGUUCAUGACCAUCCUAAAGCACUACUACAGCACAUUGUUGUGGUUAAUAUAGUUUAUUCAGCUCACUGAAAUGUUCAGUGAUAUUAUUCGUCUUAGAGUUUUACCAAACAGGAAUGCAGCUUGACUAGCUAAGAAUCCAGACUGUUACAGCUAAUGUGGAUUUUCAUUAGAGAUUGUGUUCUUUGGGCUACAAGAGAAUGAGUUGCAGGGUUUACUUAAUUGACUCUAAAAAAAAUAUAUACUUCAGGACACUGGGAGUGUUGAAGAAUCAUCACAGUAGUAUUACAGUGAAGUAUCAAAAGAUCGAUUAUUCUCUGAGUUACACCAAACAAAUAUGGACAUAUUCUGCUUAAUCACAAAAUAUCAUUAUUUAAAGAGAGAAGAUAAUAUAAAGUAAAGUUCAAAGGUAUGAACUUCAAAGUGGCAUGCAAGGUGAAACUUGAUGUUGCUUUAGUAAAUUUUGGACAAAAUACAGCUUUUGGUAGAAUACAGUGCUUUUCAUAAUAUGCAUAGAGUUAUUUAAAGUUGUCGCAGAUUAAAUAUUGGUCAAUUAUUCAAUAAAUACUUGGUGCACCCUUUGUUUACCUGGUACCUGCUGUCUUUCACUGUUUUACUGCAUCCUUUCCAUGAUGUUUAAGCCACUGGUUGGAAUAUUUCUUAUAAUACUUGACACACGAAUGAUCUGAUGUAAUUCUGUGUAUUCAUGGUGAAAGCAGUGUUAAACAGUGGACAGCUGUGGUGUAAAUACGAUGCAAGGUCAGCUAUUUGAACAGUCAAUUAUAAUUAAAGAUGUUUGUAUUUGAUUAUUAUUUGAAUGUUCAAAUUUCUGUUGCACUUCUAUUCAAUAGUGAAGUACAAAGCUGCUCCUAGCGGUGCUGCUGUGUAGAUACAGUAAGUACUUGUUGUUAAUGGAUGUUCUCAUAAAUUGCAAAUAUAUACAUAAGUAUUUUUAUUGCACGUUACAAAAAAAACAUUCACUAAAUGCAAAGAAAGUUCCUUUAAUGAUAACUGUAGUGUUUUGUUUUCUUAACUGCAAAUAUGAAGGUAACCAACUCAGUUAGAUUGUGUCUCUUUUAUAGUAAUUAGCUCCAUUUUCCCUGAAGUGCGAGUCACCCUGAUUGAUUGGAUUCAUUUAGUUAUGCAACUUAGCCUCUUAUCACAUAUGACAUAUAUAAUGAGCGCCAUUCACAAGGAGUGGAAGCCACACCAUAAUAAUAACUUUCACAUGUGUAUGACACGAAAUGUGAACAUGUGCAAAGGAUUCAUGGUUUAUUUUGAUUUAAGCAUUUGCAUGAAGCAAGAGCAUCCAGAUUGAAACACCAUUUUCAAAAUGUUUUGGUGUUUUGAUGAGGAAUCAUGCUAGAUUAAGUCUUUCUUUGUGACAUUAAUUAAAUGUUGGCAUUAUCUGAUGCCACAUGUGGGAAUACUCCUAUAAACAGAGUACUGUUUAUACUCUGCAGUCUAUGAAACUGUGCCUUUUAUACCUAGAGGUAUAAAUAACAUUUGGUUUGAUGAGGGGAGAGAAGGGAUAAUGAUGUUGAAAUUUUCUGCAAAGCAGAUUUGUGCUGUCAUUGGGAGUGCAUUGGCUUUUCAUACAUAUGAGAAAUAAAUGUGAUAUGUAAAAUGUAAUAUUUUCUAUUAUCAGAUACAAGGCCAUACAAAAAGUCAGUAGAUGCAUAAUGAAAAAUUGGUGUGGUGAUUUUUUUUUUCUCCUGGUCUAUAGAGUGUUACUUUAAUGCUUAAAUCAAAAGCAGUUGUACAUUCAGUUGGGUAAUUGCCUUUUCCAAACCAGUGAAACUGUCAGUAUCAACUUACAAAAUUAUGUUGACUUUGAUUAAAAUGUUGUAUGUUUACACAUGAAAAAACCUCAUUGCAAAUGUGUUUUUAUUUGCAUGCAAAUGCACUUACUACAGUAGUGUUUCCAACAUUUAUUUCUAAGCAAUGGCCUCUUCUCAUACUGACUUAUACCGAAUUGAAGCAAGUCCAUUUUUUGGUAAGUGCAUCUGAUGUUUGUAGUUGAAGCAUCAAUGAGUUCACAGUGAAGAAAACAAUAUUGUUCUGGCCAAUAUGUUUUAUAGUCUGACAAAAUGUUUGAAUUUCUGAAUGGCAACACUUUUAUUUUCCACAUUGGGGAAAAAGCUGACUGAAAGAAUACUCCAGGAAAUGCAGUUUUUAGAUAGCACCAAGGAAUACAGAUCAGAUUAUAGUAUUCACAAACUUUAGCACAGUUUCCCAGUAGAACUUUAAUGAAAUAAGGAUUGCCACUAGUACCCAUUAUGAUAAUUUUGAAAAUACAGCUGCAAUACUUAACCUGUCUCUACGUAUGUGAUUUAAAAACAAAAGUCAUCUUGGCAAGGAAAUGACAAGGGGAUAGUUCUAAGCAAAAAAUGUUUCAUUUUAUUUUAGCAAAAAAUCACUUAUACAAAUGAUUUUCUAAUUAAAAAUAAAACAGUCAUAUAAUGAAAUAUAUCCAGUGGACUCUGCUGUUAAAAAAUAUUGAAUGCUCUUCUAAUUUAAAGCAAUACAUUACCUUUGGCAAUACUUGAAGAGAACUAUCAUUUUACACACCUUGGGUAUGCUUCCAGUCAGCAUUGCAUGAGAUUAAAGCACUUCCAUUCAAUGCUUUUCUGAUCUGCUUGUAAUAAUAAUCAUGAACUAUUGUGCUGUGACUUGGAUGUUGAUAGCAAAGCAGAGAACAAUUUAUCAUCCUUUACUUACUAUGAGUCAUGUGCACAUAGCUUUGUUGAACAUGACUAAAUAUAUUGAACGUUUGUCCACUUCUGUUUAUAAAAUAAUAAACAUGAUUUAAUCACCAUUGUACAGUUUACUAUAAAAACAAACUUGCCUUUUUUGUUAACUGCAAAUGAACUCAUAACAUUUUUUGAAUUUUCUUGUAAUAUUUUCAUAUAUUUUUUGCAUUCUGAGGCAAAUUGUUGUGAAUUUUUCCUUCCUCCCACUCAGCCACCUUUUGUAUAUAUACCUUUUAAUACUGGUAGUUGUGUCUCUGUAAUAUGACAUUAAUUAGAGCAAGUUAAGCUUUCUAAGUUUGUUUUAUUUAAAAAGAGAAUGAUGUUAUGCAAGAAAUAUUCUGUGAGCUCUUGUCAUUACCUUGCUCCUCCUCCAUUUCCAUGAUAUUUAUAUUGUUGAUUUACAGAGUACACUUUAAAGGUUGUUAAAGUAGUAGGUAAUUUGAUGUCAUGCUGCAAACUGCAGCAGAAGAGCAGGAUCUGAAAGGUUAAAGCUAAGUUUUUUGCUGCAGUUAAAUCUUGUCUCAUUUCUCUGGUGCUUUGCAAUAAAAAAAAGUGAAUCUGA